rnacentral:miRNA from 1 species
UCAGUAACAAAGAUUUAUCUCUGU